UCGGAUGGUAUUGUCACCUAUAGUCCUCUACAUAGGUCCAACUGUGCCGGGACGUAGAAUGGGUCAACCGGUCUUUCCCUUAUCAUAACAUAUCAUAUGGACCAACUGUGCCAGGGACGUAGAAUGGGUACAACCUGGACUUUCUCUUACAUCGUGCCAGGGACGUAGAAUGGGUACAACCUGGACUUCCAUACCAUAACAUGCCAUAACAUCAAUCAUAUCAUAGGAGGACUAAAGGAUCAUCCAAUAACCAAUCCACAUCAACAUUAACAUCAUAAAUGCAAUGCAACAUAUUCGUGAAUACUAAUGCAAGCAACCUAUUAUAUCUCAUGGCAUUCAUGAUGCAUGGAUCAUGCUCAAAAUUCAUAUUUUCAUUUAUUUAAAACUUAAGGUUUAUUCCACUCACCUCUGGCUAGCUCUGACAAACUCUGUGGCAGCUGGCUCACUGCUGGGGUCCUCGGUUCCUCGGGUCCGAACCUACACAGGUGGACUCCAAUGAGGGACCAAACAU
rnacentral:lncRNA from 1 species